rnacentral:rRNA from 1 species
AUUGAACGCUGGCGGCAUGCUCUACACAUGCAAGUCGAACGGCAGCACGGACUUCGGUCUGGUGGCGAGUGGCGAACGGGUGAGUAAUACAUCGGAACGUACCCAGUAAUGGGGGAUAACUAUCCGAAAGGAUAGCUAAUACCGCAUACGCCCUACGGGGGAAAGAGGGGGAUCGCAAGACCUCUUGUUAUUGGAGCGGCCGAUGGCUGAUUAGCUAGUUGGUAGGGUAAAGGCCUACCAAGGCAACGAUCAGUAGCGGGUCUUUGAGGACGGGCGGCCAACCUGGAACAGGAGCACGGUCCAGAAUCCAACGGGAGGCAGCAGUGGGUAAUCUUGGACAAUGGGCGCAAGCCUGAUCCAGCAAUGCCGCGUGCGUGAAGAAGGCCUUCGGGUUGUAAAGCGCUUUUGUCAGGGAGCAAAUCCUUGUGGCUAAUACCCACCGGGGAUGAGAGUACCUGAAGAAUAAGGACCGGCUAACUACGUGCCAGCCGCCGCGGUAACAC